rnacentral:rRNA from 1 species
AACGAACGCUGGCGGCAUGCCUAACACAUGCAAGUCGAACGAGACCUUCGGGUCUAGUGGCGCACGGGUGCGUAACGCGUGGGAACCUGCCCUUAGGUUCGGAAUAACUCCCCGAAAGGGGUGCUAAUACCGGAUAAUGUCUUCGGACCAAAGAUUUAUCGCCUUUGGAUGGGCCCGCGUUGGAUUAGCUAGUGGGUAGGGUAAAAGCCUACCAAGGCGACGAUCCAUAGCUGGUCUGAGAGGAGGAUAAGCCACACUGGGACUGAGACACGGCCCAGACUCCUACGGGGGGCAGCAGUGGGGAAUAUUGGACAAGGGGCGAAAGCCUAAUCCAGCAAUGCCGCGUGAGUGAUGAAGGCCUUAGGGUUGUAAAGCUCUUUUACCCGGGAUGAUAAUGACAGUACCGGGAGAAUAAGCUCCGGCUAACUCCGUG